CGCGGCCUAUCAGCUUGUUGGUGGGGUAACGGCUCACCAAGGCAUCGACGGGUAGCUGGUCUGAGAGGACGAUCAGCCACACUGGGACUGAGACACGGCCCAGACUCCUGCGGGAGGCAGCAGUGGGGAAUCUUGCGCAAUGGGCGAAAGCCUGACGCGGCAACGCCGCGUGGGGGAUGAAGGCUCUCGGGUUGUAAACCCCUUUCAUCAGGGACGAAAUUGACGGUACCUGAAGAAGAAGCGCCGGCCAACUACGUGCCAGCAGCCGCGGUAAUACGUAGGGCGCAAGCGUUGUCCGGAUUCAUUGGGCGUAAAGGGCUCGUAGGCGGUUUGGUAAGUCGGGUGUGAAAACUCAGGGCUCAACUCUGAGACGCCACUCGAUACUGCCAUGGCUAGAGUCCGGUAGGGGAGUGUAGAAUUCCUGGUGUAGCGGUGAAAUGCGCAGAUAUCAGGAGGAAUACCGAUAGCGAAGGCAGCACUCUGGGCCGGUACUGACGCUGAGGAGCGAAAGCGUGGGGAGCAAACAGGAUUAGAUACCCUGGUAGUCCACGCCGUAAACGUUGGGCACUAGGUGUGGGUUCCAUCCAACGGGAUCCGUGCCGUAGCUAACGCAUUAAGUGCCCCGCCUGGGGAGUACGG
rnacentral:rRNA from 1 species